GCCAUGCAUUCAAAGAGUGCGUAACAGCUCACUGGUCGAGUGGGGGCGCGCCGACAAUGCGCGGGGCUCAAGCACGGCGCCGAAGCGGCGGAAUCAUGAAUUUGAUUGGUAGGGGAGCUUUCCAUGCCGGGCGAAGCCGGAGGCGCGAGCCCCGGUGGACGGCAUGGAAGUGAGGAUGCAGGCAUGAGUAGCGAGAGAGCGGCGAGAAACCGCUCCGCCGAAAACCCAAGGUUUCCUGGGCGAGGCUAAUCCCCCCAGGGUCAGCCGGGAGCUAAGGCGAGGCCGCGAGGCGCAGCCGAUGCACGACGGGCAGACAUUCCCGUGCCGGCGCGGGCGCGCUACGACCGAUGGGACGACGGGGAAGGAUACGCGAGCGGGGUUCUGGACGUCCCCGUGAAAGCGCGUAGGGAGGGGCCCAGGGAAAUCCGGUCCCCACAUAUCCCGAGACGCGAGACGAGCCGCACGGCGAAGUCGCGGAUUCCAUGCCUCCUAGAAAAAUCCCUAGGCAGCGCCCACGCCGCCCGUACCAAAACCGACACAGGCGGGUAGGAAGAGCAUUCCGAGGCGAUCGGGGCAACCAUGGUCAAGGAACUCGGCAUAAUCGUCCCGUAACUUAGGGAGAAGGGACGCCCCCCAGCGUGUACCGGCUCGCCCGGGAAGCGCCGGGGGGCCGCAGCGAAAGGGCCCAAGCGACUGUUUACCAAAAACACAGGACUCUGCCAAGCCGCGAGGCGAAGUAUAGGGUCUGACGCCUGCCCGGUGCCGGAAGGUCACGGGGAUCCGUUAGAGAAAUCGAAGCGGUGAACCCAAGCCCCGGUAAACGGCGGCCGUAACUAUAACGGUCCUAAGGUAGCGAAAUUCCUUGUCGGGUAAGUUCCGACCUGCACGAACGGCGCAACGACUUGGGCGCUGUCUCGACCAUGGGCCCGGCGAAAUUGCAUUAUCCGUGAAGAUGCGGAUUCCCCGCGGAAGGACGGAAAGACCCCGUGAACCUUUACUGCAGCUUGGCAUUGGCCGCAGGCGCGGCGCGUAGAGGAUAGGCAGGAGGCUGCGAAGCCCGGGCGCCAGCCCGGGCGGAGCCGACCUUGGAAUACUGCCCCCGUCGCGUCGGCGGCCUAACCCGGGGACGGCCCGGGGACCGUGCCAGGCGGGCAGUUUGACUGGGGCGGUCGCCUCCCAAAGAGUAACGGAGGCGCGCGCAAGGUCCGCUCAGGACGGUCGGCAACCGUCCGAAGAGCGCAAGAGCACAAGCGGGCCUGACUGCGAGGCAGACAAGCCGAGCAGGGACGAAAGUCGGCUCUAGUGAUCCGGCGGCCCCGAGUGGAAGGGCCGUCGCUCAACGGAUAAAAGGUACUCCGGGGAUAACAGG
rnacentral:rRNA from 1 species